rnacentral:rRNA from 1 species
UACGUAGGGGGCAAGCGUUGUCCGGAAUCAUUGGGCGUAAAGCGCGUGUAGGCGGCCCGGUAAGUCCGCUGUGAAAGUCGGGGGCUCAACCCUCGAAUGCCGGUGGAUACUGUCGGGCUAGAGUGCGGAAGAGGCGAGUGGAAUUCCUGGUGUAGCGGUGAAAUGCGUAGAUAUUGGGAGGAACACCAGUGGCGAAGGCGGCUCACUGGACCGGAACUGACGCUGAGGCGCGAAAGCGUGGGGAGCAAACAGG